AAGAAGCGAUUGAUAUAUGUUACAAUCUUGAGGUAGAAAGAAAAGGGCCAAAAGGAGAGGUUGGAGAGAGAGAGAGCAGAGAAGAAAGCAAUAUCUGAAAUUCCGAAAAUGGCAGCCGCUCUCUCCAUUAGACCCAACCAUGACCUCCUCUAUUGUAAGCCGUGGGGCGGAGCCAACCACUGCAUCUGGCCGCAUCGGUUGACGUCGAUGAUGUCAGGUGGGCAGUGGUGGAGGAGGAAGAAACAGAGAUGUUGCUGGAGCGUCGUCCUGCUCCCCUCACGGCAUAGAUUAGCGAGCCCCUUGACUGCGUCGAGGGCGGACGACUCGGUGCCAUCUGAGAUGUCGGUGGAGAACGCCCUGAAGCUGCUGGGCGUCAGGGAGGGAGCGUCGUUCGACGAUAUCCUCCGUGCUAAGAAUUUGAUCCUCGCCUCUUGUGAGGACGACCCAGAUGCUGUGGCGCAGGUUGAGGCUGCAUAUGACAUGUUGCUUAUGCAGAGCUUAACACAGCGCAGGGCAGGAAAAGUCGUGAGUAGCAGCAUCCGUUAUGCUGAUGUAAAACCUGCAAGUAGUCCUGGAACUAGUGCAAUGCCUCAGUGGCUACAGACCACGGUUAAGAAUGCACCCGUUUCAGUUGAAUCGCCGUCAACUAGCAACUUGGGUUUACAAGCUGGGGUUCACGGAGCAUUGAUGGUUCUCACAUUUGUCAAUGGAGCAUCCUCAUCUUCAAAUCAGCUUUAUUCCGGUGCUAACGUUCCUGGACUAAUCUUGGCUACUAGCUUUGGAGCUUCAUUAUACUUUUUGUCCAAGAAGAACAUUAGCCUAGGUUUUUCACCUCCAGGCACUGCCUCAAUGUCAUUGAUACAUAUCCAGAUGAUAUCUCGAAAUAUCAUAAGAAAUGCCAUCCUAUUGCUUCCACUCCAGAAGAAACUAGGAAGUGAGCAGAGGAAAAUAUUUGAAUUUUUUUGUUGGGCUUCACUUUGAUUUUGAGCUUCAACAGUCCAAGAUGGGGAUGAGGAAUCUUUAUUCUACAUGGAAUCAGUGUAUAACUAUGUCAGAGGAGAAGCCAAUCAUUGUUAAUUCCAAUAUGCGGAGUUCUGUGCUACCAAAGAAAUCUACUCUUGUUUUGGGUCCAAACCAUCUCAAGGUGGAAUCACUGGAGACAGUCACGCUCCUUUACUAGAUACAUUGGUAAGGAUAAACUCCUUCGUGCACAUCGCAGCCAUUGUGACACAUUUGUUGGUGUUGUUGGAUUUUCCAUCCUCAUUUACAUCCCAAACCUAAAGAUGUUACUAACAAUGUUGAGACUGAGGGUGAACUAGCUUGUAAUGUGCUAGAUUGUCAGGAUCAGAUUAUCAGUGACCUUUGCCAAGAGCUGGCAAAUCUUCAUGCAUCUUAUUCGCCCGAUACAUCAAGCAAGCAGUCAGGAAAGGCAACACUCAUAACAGUGGGUGGCCUUGUUGUUGGGGCAGUGGUGGGAUCAGCAGUUGAGAAUUGGUUGCAGGUAGACAUAGUCCCAUUGAUGGGCAUACAUUCACCGGCUGUAAUAGUAAGUGAAUUUAUU